AGUGAACGCUGGCGGUAGGCCUAACACAUGCAAGUCGAACGGCAGCACAGUAAGAGCUUGCUCUUACGGGUGGCGAGUGGCGGACGGGUGAGGAAUACAUCGGAAUCUACUUUUUCGUGGGGGGUAACGUAGGGAAACUUACGCUAAUACCGCAUACGACCUACGGGUGAAAGCAGGGGAUCUUCGGACCUUGCGCGAUUGAAUGAGCCGAUGUCGGAUUAGCUAGUUGGCGGGGUAAAGGCCCACCAAGGCGACGAUCCGUAGCUGGUCUGAGAGGAUGAUCAGCCAAACUGGAACUGAGACACGGUCCAGACUCCUACGGGAGGCAGCAGUGGGGAAUAUUGGACAAUGGGCGCAAGCCUGAUCCAGCCAUACCGCGUGGGUGAAGAAGGCCUUCGGGUUGUAAAGCCCUUUUGUUGGGAAAGAAAAGCAGCAGGUUAAUACCCCGCUGUCUGACGGUACCCAAAGAAUAAGCACCGGCUAACUUCGUG
rnacentral:rRNA from 1 species